rnacentral:rRNA from 1 species
CCUACGGGAGGCAGCAGUAGGGAAUAUUGGACAAUGGGCGCAAGCCUGAUCCAGCCAUCCCGCGUGAAGGAUUAAGGCCCUCUGGGUUGUAAACUUCUUUUCUCUGGGAAUAAAAACCGGUAUUCAUAUUGGCUUGAAGGUACCAGAGGAAUAAGCACCGGCUAACUCCGUGCCAGCAGCCGCGGUAAUACGGAGGGUGCAAGCGUUAUCCGGAUUCACUGGGUUUAAAGGGUGCGUAGGUGGCUUUGUAAGUCAGUGGUGAAAUGCCGCAGCUCAACUGCGGAACUGCCAUUGAUACUGCUUAGCUUGAAUCACGUCGAGGUGGAUGGAAUAAUACAUGUAGCGGUGAAAUGCUUAGAUAUGUAUUAGAACACCGAUUGCGAAGGCAGUUCACUAGGCGUGUAUUGACACUGAGGCACGAAAGCGUGGGGAUCAAACAGGAUUAGAUACCCUGGUAGUCCACGCCCUAAACGAUGUAAACUCGACAUUAGCGAUAUACUGUUAGUGUCCAAGCGAAAGCGUUAAGUUUACCACCUGGAAGUACGACCGCAAGGUUGAAACGUCAAAUGAAUUGACGG